CAGGCUUUGCCAUCUUGAUGGGUGCCAUUUAUUGCCUAAACCUGGAUCUUUCCAUCAAGAUACAGAUGAUACUCUUGAGAUACCAAUGAUCCUGACCCCUUCUGCUCUCUGGACCUGCCUGAUCAAUCCUGAUGUUCUACUUCUGUUUGGAGUUCUCAAUUGGAAGUCACAUGUUGCUGCUGAGGAUUGCCACAAACAGUUUUGCACUCAUCAGUGGAAAGUGGACAAGUUCAACAAAACAGACUUCAAAGCAGUAAUGAAGUUUCCUGGUUACACAAUUGCACUAUUUGACCAUGUAGUAUUAGAAGGCAUUAAUUUAUUUAUAAUCGCAAAAAUGUAUUUAUAAUUUAUUUUUAUUGCACUAUCCGGUGUCACCCAGAUGUGAACGGGUUCCCUUUUGAGUCUGGUUCCUCUCAAGAUUUCUUCCUCACAUCUUCUCAGGGAGUUUUGCCUCACCACCGUCACCUCUGGCUGCUCAUUAGGGAUAAAUUCAUACAUUUAAGAUCUAUAUCCCAAAUUUCUGUAAAGCUGCUCUGGGACAAUGUCCACUGUUAAAAGCACUAUACAAAUAAAACUGAAUUGAAUGGCCUAUGACUGAUGAAUUAAUGUUGCUCAUUAUUAAGUUUCUCUCAGCAGGGUGGAGGGUUUAAACUUCUCAGUAAUGUCGAGGUGGUGCCUCACACCCCCAGGGUCCGUGGUUCGACUCCUGGUAGGGCCAUGUGUGUGCAGAGUUUGCAUGUUCUCCCUGUGCUGCGGGGGGGUUUCCUUCGGGUACUCCGGUUUCCUCCCCCAGUCCAAAGACAUGCAUGGUAGGCUGAUUGGCAUGUCUAAAGUGUCCGUAGUGUAUGAAUGGGUGUGUGAGUGUGUAUGUGAUUGUGCCCUGCGAUGGACUGGCACCCUGUCCAGGGUGUACCCCGCCUUGUGCCCGAUGCUCCCUGGAAUAGGCUCCAGGUUCCCCGUGACCCUGAAAAGGAGUAAUUUUACUCCUUUUAUUAGCUUUUAUUGAAGAGAAUAUAAUCCAAAGGGCAAGGCAAAAUCAACAAUGAGGACAAGACUAGAGCAGGUAAAGCAGAUAAUCGGAGUCAAGGGCAAAACAGAAUAAGAAUCACAAAACAAUCGACUGGCUUGGUAAUGACAGAAACUAGAUUAACUGAGCAUUUACUUUGCAAACCCAGGGUAACUUCUAAGCAUCUGAUGUUCAUGAGUCCACCCUCAGGAGAACACUGAACAACAAUGGUGUGCAUGGCAGGGUUCUAAGGAGAAACCAUUGCUCUCCAAAAGAACAUUGCUGCCCUUCUACAGUUUGCUAAAGAUCAUGUGGACAAGCCAGAAGGAUACUGGAAAAAUGUUUUGAGACCAAAUUAGAACAUUUUGUUUUAAAUGAGAAGCGUUAUGUUUGGAGAAAGGAAAACACUGCAUUCCAGCAUAAGAACCUUAUCCCAUUUGUGAAACAUGGUGGUGGAAGUGUCAUGCUUUGGGCCUGUUUUACUCCAUCUGGACCAGAAUGACUCAUUAUCACUGAUGGAACAAUGAAUUGUGAAUGAUACCAGUGAAUUCUAAAGGAAAAUAUCAGGACAUCUAUCCAUGAACUGAAUCUGAAGAGAGAGUGGGUCAUGCAGCAAGACAACGAUCCUAAACACGAGUCGCUCUACCAAAGAAUGGUUAAAGAAGAAUAAAUUAAUGUUUUGGAACGGCCAAGUCAAAGUCCUGACCUUAAUCCAAUAGAAAUGUUGCCGAAGGACCUGAAGCAAGCAGUUCAUGUGAGUUACAGCAAAUGUUUAGUUGCAGUAAUUGCUGCACAAGAGGGUCACAACAGAUAAUGAAAGCAAAGGUUCACAUACUUUUGCCACUCACAGAUAUGUAAUAUUGGAUUUUGAUCAAUAAAUAAAUGACCAAGUAUAAUAUUAUUGAUUCAUUUGUUUAAUCAGGUUCUCUUUAUCUACUUUUAGGACUUUGAUGAAAAUUUGAUUAUGUUUUAGGUCAUACUUAUGCAGAUAUAUAGAAAAUUCUAAAGGGUUCACAAACUUUCAAGCACCACUGUGCUGUAUGUGCAUUAAGAAUCAUAUUCAGAGUUAAUGAUUUAAGUUAAAAGUUAUAUUAAUA
ensembl:lncRNA